rnacentral:lncRNA from 1 species
CGCCCCUCCGCCUGGCAGAGAAGUGCUUGCUGGCAGUGGGAGACUCAAAGCAGCAGGAGUUCAAAGCAGAAUGCACUCAAGCUGCUGUUCCCUAAUUGAGGCACUGUGCACAGUUCAUCUUGUUUGGACUUAGAAACCUCAGUCUAGAAGAAACUAGCCCAAGGGAUACAGACGGGACGGAACAAUGGCCGGCAGCUCUCCCGGACUCCUGGCCACUCCCCAAAUGAGUCUAGAAGAUAAGCAACCAGAGUGAGGAACACAAUGACCCCCUUGACGGGCACGUGGUAAAUUCACAGCUCGUGUAGCUCUCGCUGAAGAGGACCUGCUCAUCAUUCAGCAAACACAGACAUGAAGUUCAGCAUCGGGCUCCCUGGUGUGUCUGACGGAUGGGACUUCCAAAGGCUGUAAAGGUCCUUGCUCAAGUCUCAGCAGUUGCCUGGAUGUAGCAGUUACACCAAGUACUUGAGUACCAGUAAAAUGGCAGUUACUCCACACUGUUCACUUGGAGAAUAACUGCCACUUCAUGCUUAUUGCUUAUUUAUUUCCUUCCUUCCUUCCUUCCUUCCUUCCUUCCUUCCUCUUUCUCUCUUUGACAGGGUCUCUCUCUGUUGCAGAAGCUGGAGUGCAGUGGCCCAAUCUCAGCUCACUGUGGCCUCGGCCUUCUGGGCUCAAGAAAUCCUCCCACCUCAGCCUCCCAAAGUGCUGGGAUUACAGGCAUGAGCUACCACAGCCUGCCUUGUUGGGUUUCUAGACAAGGUCCCUGAGACCCAGAAAGGUAAAGUGAUAUACAAAGUUCAAUAAUUACAUGUGGUGAAGCCAGCGUAGCAUCCACACCUCCUCCCUCCCCAUUUAAUGUCUUUUCACCAGAGAGCAUGUGUUAAUGAGGCUGUGGUUGUAGACUCUUAUAGGAACUGAAGACCUGUAAGACCCAUAUCCCAGUUAGCCAUCUUACAAACAGAAGCAUUCACUGAAUAUAUGUCCAGGCGAGAGAAUAGGUGGCUGUAAGAAAACUGACCCCAUUCUUUGAAACAAACACACGCAAGCUUCUUUCUCUAUCUAUCUACCUAUCUUCUAUUUCUCUAUUAUCUAUCUAUCUAUCUUUCUUUCUUUCUUCAUCACUAUAAUGCUCAAGAAUAUAUUUGCAGCAAAACCCAAUGCUAUUCUGAUCAAGAGCAAAGCCAUCAAUAGCUCUUGGUUGGAACUUGGGAAAAAACUGGGCAUAGAGAGCCUGGUGAAUACUUAUCCAGGUGAUACCAACUGUUGUAGGUCUCUUGAGUGUGGACCAUGUAUCUGAAGAAACAAUUGUUUAAAUGUUACUCAAAGGACCAAAAGGAUGGAUGUCCAAAGGGUGAGCAUUUGAUUUCUCCUCAUGUGUGGAACUUGCCUUUUAGUGACCUGGCUGAUGAGUGGCCAACGCUCUUCCUGUGCCAUUGUGUCCCACACAGCCAGAAUUUAAUCAUGCAGGAGCUGCUGGAAAGAUGCUCUAUGCAGAGAGAAAUUAAUGGAAUGAACUCAGGACAAAACCCUUGUCUCGGGUCUGCGUCAUUCUAAUAGCAGAACAAACUUCAUGCUGUCAGCAGCAAAAGAGAUGACUGGAAAUCACCUUUAGCUUUUCCAUCCAUUAUGACAGCAUGGGCAGAACGAGGAAGGAGGACAGCAAACAGGAUGAGAAACCACAGAUGAGGUGGCAGGCAGGAGGCAUGCGCUGUAUCCAUCCAAGGACAAAGAGAGGUGGCAGGAGCUAAGGGUAAGUAAGGAGGGCUUUUAAGCUCCAGGAAGCGAAAGACUGUUCUAAUCCAUGCUGAGCCAAUUUUCCUCCGUGCCCUCCAGACUCAGUCUCCACCCUUUUCCACUCUCCUGGUGUCCAGGGAGUGGGCCUGCCUGGACUGCAUCAGCAGAACCCCCUUGCCCUCUGGAGGGAGGAGGCGAGUCCGGAGGCUCCGCCACACCUUCCUUUCCUCUGUCCCCCCAACAUGGUUCCCUCCUUUUGACCCUUCGGACCUAGGCCAUCCUGGCACUCUGCUAUGACUAGCCCUGGUCUAUCUAAUUAGCCCUUUUCAUUUUCUACACUCCAUCCAUACUUUUCUAAAUAGUCCCGAUCUAAGUGUGGUGUCUUUCUCCUGUCAGACCCCAACGGAAACACCUGCUCACUCGGGUAGUAUCUUUUUCUCUGUUUGCAUUUGCAAGCAAGGACUGUUCUUGGGGAAGGAGAGGGAGGACAGAAGAGAGUCUCAUUCUGAUGUCCCACUGGCAAAGGGAAGAUCAUGCCUGUGGAGUGCAGAAGGGGCAAAUGGAUAGGAAAUAUUGGGUGGGCACAUUGGGGGUUUUAGCGUGUUAUGACGCAGCAUUGUUUUGCAAAGGCAGAGUUCUUUCCCAGCUGUUACAGCAGUUAUGCUCAGAGCAUUAUGGUAAUGACAGCUGACACAGUGAUUAUCGGCACGGUACAGCUGGAAAAACAUGGCAGAGGGGAGUGGGCAGAGGUAUCCAAACCUCAGGUACCUCAGGGGCAGACCCUAGAGGAAACCCGUGUCUCAUGGAAUGCUCACGUCUCCUUGACUGAGAGGGCCAGCCCGCCACCACUGUUCCUCCAAGGGGGAAACCUUCAGAAAUAGACUGGUAUUCAUGAAAAUCAAAGCUCUUUUUUUUUUUUUUUCUUUGAGAUGAAGUUUCACUCUUGUUGCCCAGGCUGGAGUGCAAUGGCGCAAUCUCGGCUCACCGCAACCUCCACCUUCCAGGUUCAAGUGAUUCUCCUGCCUCAGCCUCCCAAGCAGCUGGGAUUACAGGCAUGUGCCACCACACCGGGCUAAUUUGGUUUGUUUGUUUGUUUGUUUGUUUGUUUGUUUGUUUUUUGUAUUUUUAGUAGAGAUGGGGUUUCUCCAUGUUGGUUAGGCUGGUCUGGAACUCCCGACCUCAGGUGAUCCACCCGCCUCAGCCUCCCAAAGUGCUGGGAUUACAGGCGUUGAGCCACUGCACCCAGCCAAGCCUCCUUUUUAAAUUUUCUUUUUUUAGAGACAGAGUCUAGCUCUGUCGCUCAGGCUGGAGUGCAGUGGUACAAUCAUAGCUCACUGCAGCCUUGAACUCCUGGGCUGCAGUGGUCCUCCCGCCUCAGCCUCCUGAGUAGCUGGGACUACAGAUGCACCCUACUGCACCUGGCUCUCCUUUUUCAAAACUUAAUUUGUUGCUAUUUUUUUUUCCUAGAAAAUUUCAACUGUAGGGAUAAACACUAAUUUUUCUUUG